CACCCGACUUCUUUUUAUUUAACUUCAUAAGUCCACACCCAGCUUGCUCUAGCAUACCACUGAGGUUGGAGCAAUUUUAUUCGAUUGGGGAGAAAACACCAUUAUCGUGUAUGAUCCCUCUUUACUGACUUAGUUGUAGGCAUCCGGGUUGGCGAUGAGAUAAGCCUCAACAGUCUUGAACAUUUCGGCGGCAGAGUCCUUGGCCUUGAGCAUCAUGUCCUUCGCCUCAGCACCCUU